rnacentral:ncRNA from 2 species
UACCCAUCCAGAGCGGCCGAGAGAUCUGGCUCGUUGACGCCGCAGCAACCCCCUCCUCGGAGGACGGUGCUACUGCCAGCAACGAUGGAGA